AGAGAAUGUCAAGAAGUGUGAAUUUUAAUGCAUUACUGAUGACGGUAUAUAUUAGCACAAUGUUUACAAUAGUAAAAGAAAAAGAAAAUUUGGAGUUCCCAUUGUAGGUCAGCAGUAACAAACCUGACUAGUACCCACGAGGACUCAGGUUUGAUCCCUGAUCCUGCUCACUGGGUUAAGGAUCUGAGGUUGCCAUGAGCUGUGGUGCAGUUUACAGACGUGGCUCAGAUCUGGCAUUGCUAUUGCUGUGGCAUAAGCUGGCAGCUGCAGCUCCGAUUUGACCCCUAGCCUGGGAACUUCCAUAUGCCAUGGGUCAGCCCUGAAAAAAAAGAAAGAAAAAGAAAAGUAGUAACGUAACUGUACAUCAGGUAAGAACUUAUUCUUAGAAGGGAAUAGCAGAGUUCCCAUCAUGGCUCAGUGGAAAUGAAUCUGACGAGGAAUCGUGAGGUUGCAAGUUCAAUCGCUGGCCUCACUCAGUGGGUUAAGGAACCAGCGUUGGUAUAGGUGUGGUAUAGUUCGCAAGCACGGCUAGGAUCUGGUGUUGCUGUGGCAUAGGCCCAGCAGCUAUAGCUCUGAUUAGGCCCCUAGCCUGGGAACCUCAAUAUGCCUCAGGUGUGGCCCUGAAAAGCGUGCGCUCACAAACACACACAUACACACACAGAGAAGGGAAUAGCAAACUGCCAUAAUAAGUGUGAACAUGGAUAAAUCUCAGAAACAGAAUACUGAAUGACAAAGACAGCUGCAAAGAAUUUUACAGUAUGCCAUCAUUUAUACAUAUUUUUAAAGCACCCAAAACCCUGUGUAUGUGUGCGCAUAUGCGUGUGUGUAAAGAGAGAAAAACUGAGAAACAGGGGGAAGGUUCAUGGGAACAUACAUAUGUAGAAAUCAAGUAUGAAAAUAAAUAUAUAAAUGAUAAAUAGCAACUUCAAGAUAGUAGUUACUUCUAAAGAGGCAGAAAGAUGGAAGGGCAGAGCUUAGCUGAAGCCAUACAAUUUUAUUACUUUUUAAAAGGACAAAGAGAUUUUCUCAAAAAAACAUACACAUAUGUAAGUACAGGAUAAAGAGUAUGAUAAUAUCCAAAGAAGCAAAGAGCUAUGAAAACAGAAAAGAAAGAGAUUCAUGAGCCAAGGAAGCUCCAGGAAGAUGUUAUGGAUGGAGUAGCUGAGAGCUGGGGCUUGAAGGGUGGAGAGGAUUGUACAGACUGAGAUAAGAUGUGGGAGAGCAUGAACAAAGGCAUAGUGUGAACAGGGAGGAGACUGAAGAAACCCUGGUCACCCCAUGAAGCUGAAGUGAAUGAACAGGUGUGGAGGGGUGACAGGACACCUCCAGUAAAUGAGGGGCGUGUAUGUACUCUUGCAGGAAAGCUCUCCAUAGGCUUUAAAAGAAACCUGAAGACUAAGCCCUGCCUUUUCAUGGCCCCACUUGCAUAUAUUAUAGUAUCUUGCAUAUACUCCAGUAAAUGAGGGGCAUGUAUGUACUCUUGCAGGAAAGCUCUCCAUUGGCUUUAAGAGAAACCUGAAGACUAAGCCCUGCCUUUUCAUGGCCCCACUUGCAUAUAUUAUAGUAUCUUGCAUAUACCAAACACUCGGCCAAUAAAAAGAAUGAAAGUGAUGUCAUCUAAGGGGCAAGAAGGGCCUAGAACUCCUAGAGUUUUGCAAGAGAGGAAGGACCAGCUUAUUGCCUCCAACUUGCCUCUUUUUCAAAGGACUUAUAGGAAGCAACUUAAGAUAUAGCAUAAAGUUCUGAAAAGUCCAUAUGUGUAAGGUUAAGUGUUAGGGUUUCUUUCUAGUACUGCCAUUAUCUUAAAAACACAGCAAAGAAACAAAAUUAUUUGUAACUAUCUGACACCUAAUAGAACUCGAAAUAGGAUAGUUAACCAAAUCAUCUAUUUAAAUUGUGAGGCCACAACUUGGUCACAGUUUUAUUUGUUGAGCGACAGAGUGCAAAUUUAGACAUUUUCAAGAUGGAAACUAAAAACAGAGGGCUACAGCGCCACCUUGCAGUGAGACCCAGCAUUGCGCUGAGAUGGCCCCACCCAAGGCUAUUCAGUGGCUAUACCUUAUCUGGGUGUGGAGUCACUGGAUAGGGGUGGGGGUCAGCAGAAGCUAGGAACUAGAGUAAACAGUGGGCAUGACCAAGAAUCAGGAGACCCUGUUCUGGUGUACCUUUGAAGUCCUGGAGGCCUCCCUUCUUCCUAACAUACUUCAGGUUAAGAUCAGGACAACCAAGAUCAGAAAGCCUGAAAGUGAAUGAAAUGGGGGAAGGAAGGAGGAAUGGUAUAAUACCACUGAUGUUCCCAGGUGGUGAAGUUGAUUAUCUAUGAGCCUCAGACCUUCUUGUAUUUGCAUUGAUUUUUUCUUAUUUGUUUGUGUAUCAAUUGUAGUUUUUCGGUUUGCAGUUAUUCUGAAGUUUUCAUAUAAGAGUCCAUAUAUAUAUGACAUUGUUUUAAGCGGUUGGUCUCUUAAUUGCGAGUGUAUCUCCAGUGUCCUGCAUUUGUAUCCACCUCUUCUCAUGAUUUCUGAUUUUGGUGUGCAUGGAUGAUUUCAUAUCUUUACUGUAUAUAUACAUUUACUGGUGAGCCUUGUCAUUUGUGGAAUUUUUGUUUCCUGCUGCUGCCUUUUCUUUUCUGCCUAGAGAAGUUCCUUUAGUAUUUGUUGUAAAGCUGGUUUAGUGGUGCUGAAUUCUCUUAGCUUUUGCUUAUCUGUAAAGCUUUUGAUUUCUCCUUCAAAUCUGAAUGUGAGCCUUGCUGGGUAAAGUAAUCUUGGUUGGAGGUUUUUUACUUUCAUCACAUUAAGUAUAUCAUGCCACUCCCUUCUAGCCUGCAGGGUUUCUGCUGAAAAAUCUUCCGAUAACCUUAUUGGGGAUCCCUUAUAUGUUACUUGUUUCUUUUCCGUAGCUGCUUUCAAGAUUUUCUCUUUGUCUUUAAUUUUGGUUAGUUUGAUUAAUAUGUGUCUCAGGGUGUUCCUCCUUGGGUUUAUUUUAUAUGGUACUCAUUGUGCUUCCUGAAUUUGAGUGAGUGGUUCCUUUCCCAUGUUAGGGAAUUUUUCAGCUAUUAUCUCUUGGAAUAUUUUUUUCUGUCCCCUUCUCUCUUGUCCUUCUGACACCCCUAUAAUACAGAUGUUGGUGCAUUUAACAUUGUCCCAGGGUUCUCUGAGACUCUCUUCAUUUGUUUUCAAUCUUUUUUCUCUUUACUGUUCCACAUACAUAAUUUCCACUUAUCUGUCCUCCACUUCGCUUAUUUGUUCUGCCUCCUGUAUUCUGCUGUUAGCUGCUUCUAGUGAGUUUUUUAUUUCAGUUACUGUAUUUUGCAUCUCUUGCUUAAGUUUUAUAUCUUGUAUUCCUUUGCUCAGUGUUUCCUGUAAGUUAUCCAUCUUUGCCUCCAGUUUAUUCCCAAUGACUUGCAUCAUCUUCAGCAUCAAUAGUCUAAAGUCUUUUUCCUGGAGGCUGAGAAUCUCCUGAUCACUUAGCUGAUUUUCUGGGGUUUUUUCUUUCUCCCUCAUCUGUGUUAUAGUCCUCUGUCUUUAUAGGUUUUUAGUGUGGUGACCUUUUUACAGAUGGUAGAGUUGUAGCCUCUCUUACUUCUGCUGUCUGCCCCCCUUGUGGCUGAA
rnacentral:lncRNA from 1 species